CACGUGUGUUUGACGCGCAUGCGCGUGCUGGCGUUCGUUUAGUCAGUGAAGUCUGUAAAGACGGGCAGAGAUUCACUUCCUUUCAGGAGUACUUAUACAAUUUGGAAACACUCUUUCUAAUAUUUACAAACAAGGAUAUAAACGCUUAAUAGCUCCAUCUGAUAGGAGAAGGAAGAAACGUCAGGAUCCAACAAGAUCUUCUGCUCCACAAACACACUCAGGCCCCAGUUCUCCAUGGCUGCAUACGGAUGCUUUGGCACUGCCAGGAGAUCUGCACACAGUGAGGAAGAUCCAAGCUCAUUGACGGAAAACCAGGAUUGUGAUACAGUGCAACAAGAACGUUCAUACGGCAGAUGCUUCAGAUGGUCGAUAGUAUUGGCAGACGCUGUAAUUUGUUCACACGGGUCAGGUCCUUCACGGCUCAGUGCUGAAUGUGCUUCUCCAUGGUCUAAAACAUGAACGCGUUCAUUUGGACGCAGACACACAGUCAGCAGAGGAUCUACAGUACAAUGAGAGUGAAGUAAAUACUGAUCAGCUGCCAUCUUCAUCAGUUACAUGUUCUGCUCCCAGAUCAGCUAGCAGGAGAUUUUUUGCUCGCUUUGGCUGGACGGGCUUGAGAUGGAAAUGGGAAUCUAGGGGUUGUUUGACAGAGGGACUCUCACAGUGUUCAAAGCUUGAAUUGUGUAUCUGUAUAUGGAAGAGAAUCCUGGAUGAUGGCUGAAUUGAAUCUGAUUUGUAUGGCUCCCUCUCAUUUGCUGUUUCUCUCUGAACACUUUGGAAACCCUGAUUUCUCUUUGAUCUGGGCAGAUCUCAACUAAUUGACCAGGAUGUGCGCAGGAUUUGAUGCAGCUGCUCUCCCACUGUGCUUGUGUGCUGUUUUAUUUAUUUAUUUAUUUAUUUUUAUUAUUUAUUUGCAGUCUUUAUACUCCAUUCAAAUGAAUUCACUUACUAUAUUUAUACUUUAUUUCAGAUUGUAACCAACAGUUAUGUCACUUUAAUAGUUGCAUACUGAAUUCUGAAUUUUUUUUUUUUUUUUUGCAUAUAUUUACUCAUUUAAAGCCAGAUUUACUGUGUACUUGCUAUGUUGAUUCUUGUGUUCAGCUAAAUAAACACAAAACUAGCAC